CAGGAUCCAAUCUGGGUCAAUCACUGAGACCAGAAGUUUUAUCUUCCAAGCUUUCGCACCUGUGCUGGAGCCCAUCCUCAGGGAACUUCUCUCUAGCAGAAUGAGAAAACCUCAUUCUAUUGUCUGCACUGUAGAAGCAGCACCUCACCGUAAGGAUCCCCAAUCGUAAUGCACCCCACAUUUUGAAAGAAACCAGAAGGUCUCAAGAGAUGCUGAUCAUCACCUACACCUUCCAAGCUCUACGAUGAUCUCAACACUUGUGCAAGAAACACAUCCGUCGCACAGACGGGCCCGGAAGUGUGCUAAAAAGCCCCUCCCACUCCAUACCUGUAUGGUCUCUGGAGCCUGUUCUGCAAUCUGGACGUCCAUGGGCUCUUCGGGAGCAGGCUGAGAAGGUGCAAGGAAAAAGAAGGUUAUCAAAGCCCCUGCAGUGCACUCUGGGCCUUUCCCUGCCAUCUUCCUUUUCUGGACCCUGCUCUGGCUCACAGCCAACUUCUUAGAAGAAAAGCACUACUAUGCUAUAGGACAGGGUUGUCAAAUUCUGGUCUGCGGGGCCGGCCUGGAAACAGCAAAGGACCGGUCCGUGGUGCCUCUGCCAGCCAAAACAGAGCUCUGAGAGGCCUGCCCCGGGCCACACCCAUCCCCAACCAUACACACCUCUGAGGUAAAAAACAACCCUGAAGCGGCCCUCAAUGAAAUUGCGUUUGACAUCCCUGCUGUAGGACCAUACUGAACCUUAAACCAGUUUCCAAAGGGUGUGAUUGCAACGAAAAGUUGAACGUUAUUUUAAAAAAAAAAAAAAGGUAAAAGAUAUGCUAUGAUUACAGUGAUCUUGUGUCCUUUAUUAUAAAGGAACUGUCCUUUAUUUCAGAAAGCUGUCCUUUAGAUUUUUUGUUUGUUUGUUUGUAAUUCACCUUUGAUCUUUAUUUAGGUCAUUUUUAAAAUAAAUUGACCUUUACUGUUUGAUCUUUA